rnacentral:siRNA from 1 species
UAAGGGUCCGAUUGGUGACCAUU